AUACGGAGGAUGCGAGCGUUAUCCGGAUUUAUUGGGUUUAAAAGGUGCGUAGGCGGUUCUGCAAGUCAGCGGUGAAACCCCCGGGCUCAACCCGGGACCUGCCGUUGAUACUGCGGGGCUGGAAUGCUGUUGCCGUGGGAGGAAUGAGUAGUGUAGCGGUGAAAUGCAUAGAUAUUACUCAGAACACCGAUUGCGAAGGCAUCUCACGAAGCAGUUAUUGACGCUGAGGCACGAAAGCGUGGGGAUCAAACAGGAUUAGAUACCCUGGUAGUCCACGCAGUAAACGAUGAUGACUAACCGCUGGUUUUUAGGGAUCAGUGGCCAAGCGAAAGCGAUAAGUCAUCCACCUGGGGAGUACGACCGCAAGGUUGAAACUCAAAUGAAUUGGCGGGG
rnacentral:rRNA from 1 species